rnacentral:snRNA from 1 species
CAACGCCCUCGACCUAUUC